GAAACGGUAGCUAAUACCGCAUAACGUCGCAAGACCAAAGAGGGGGACCUUAGGGCCUCUUGCCAUCGGAUGUGCCCAGAUGGGAUUAGCUAGUAGGUGGGGUAACGGCUCACCUAGGCGACGAUCCCUAGCUGGUCUGAGAGGAUGACCAGCCACACUGGAACUGAGACACGGUCCAGACUCCUACGGGAGGCAGCAGUGGGGAAUAUUGCACAAUGGGCGCAAGCCUGAUGCAGCCAUGCCGCGUGUAUGAAGAAGGCCUUCGGGUUGUAAAGUACUUUCAGCGGGGAGGAAGGGAGUAAAGUUAAUACCUUUGCUCAUUGACGUUACCCGCAGAAGAAGCACCGGCUAACUCCGUGCCAGCAGCCGCGGUAAUACGGAGGGUGCAAGCGUUAAUCGGAAUUACUGGGCGUAAAGCGCACGCAGGCGGUUUGUUAAGUCAGAUGUGAAAUCCCCGGGCUCAACCUGGGAACUGCAUCUGAUACUGGCAAGCUUGAGUCUCGUAGAGGGGGGUAGAAUUCCAGGUGUAGCGGUGAAAUGCGUAGAGAUCUGGAGGAAUACCGGUGGCGAAGGCGGCCCCCUGGACGAAGACUGACGCUCAGGUGCGAAAGCGUGGGGAGCAAACAGGAUUAGAUACCCUGGUAGUCCACGCCGUAAACGAUGUCGACUUGGAGGUUGUGCCCUUGAGGCGUGGCUUCCGGAGCUAACGCGUUAAGUCGACCGCCUGGGGAGUACGGCCGCAAGGUUAAAACUCAAAUGAAUUGACGGGGGCCCGCACAAGCGGUGGAGCAUGUGGUUUAAUUCGAUGCAACGCGAAGAACCUUACCUGGUCUUGACAUCCACGGAAGUUUUCAGAGAUGAGAAUGUGCCUUCGGGAACCGUGAGACAGGUGCUGCAUGGCUGUCGUCAGCUCGUGUUGUGAAAUGUUGGGUUAAGUCCCGCAACGAGCGCAACCCUUAUCCUUUGUUGCCAGCGGUCCGGCCGGGAACUCAAAGGAGACUGCCAGUGAUAAACUGGAGGAAGGUGGGGAUGACGUCAAGUCAUCAUGGCCCUUACGACCAGGGCUACACACGUGCUACAAUGGCGCAUACAAAGAGAAGCGACCUCGCGAGAGCAAGCGGACCUCAUAAAGUGCGUCGUAGUCCGGAUUGGAGUCUGCAACUCGACUCCAUGAAGUCGGAAUCGCUAGUAAUCGUGGAUCAGAAUGCCACGGUGAAUACGUUCCCGGGCCUUGUACACACCGCCCGUCACACCAUGGGAGUGGGUUGCAAAAGAAGUAGGUAGCUUAACCUUCGGGAGGGCGCUUACCACUUUGUGAUUCAUGACUGGGGUGAAGUCGUAACAAGGUAACCGUAGGGGAACCUGCGGUUGGAUCACCUCCUUACCUUAAAGAAGC
rnacentral:rRNA from 1 species